GUCCCUGUAGCACAAUCGAUAGCGUAUUGGAUAUUUAAUCCAAAAGUCGUGGGUUCGAAUCCCACCUGGGAUG